GUGGGGAAUCUUAGACAAUGGGGGAAACCCUGAUCUAGCCAUGCCGCGUGAUCGAUGAAGGCCUUAGGGUUGUAAAGAUCUUUCAGUUGGGAAGAUAAUGACGGUACCAACAGAAGAAGCCCCGGCUAACUCCGUGCCAGCAGCCGCGGUAAUACGGAGGGGGCUAGCGUUAUUCGGAAUUACUGGGCGUAAAGCGCACGUAGGCGGACUGGAAAGUCAGAGGUGAAAGCCCAGGGCUCAACCCUGGAACUGCCUUUGAAACUCCCAGUCUUGAGGUCGAGAGAGGUGAGUGGAAUUCCGAGUGUAGAGGUGAAAUUCGUAGAUAUUCGGAGGAACACCAGUGGCGAAGGCGGCUCACUGGCUCGAUACUGACGCUGAGGUGCGAAAGCGUGGGGAGCAAACAGGAUUAGAAACCCCAGUAGUCC
rnacentral:rRNA from 1 species